rnacentral:rRNA from 1 species
GAUGAACGCUGGCGGCGUGCCUAAUACAUGCAAGUCGAGCGAACAGACGAGGAGCUUGCUCCUCUGACGUUAGCGGCGGACGGGUGAGUAACACGUGGAUAACCUACCUAUAAGACUGGGAUAACUUCGGGAAACCGGAGCUAAUACCGGAUAAUAUAUUGAACCGCAUGGUUCAAUAGUGAAAGACGGUUUUGCUGUCACUUAUAGAUGGAUCCGCGCCGCAUUAGCUAGUUGGUAAGGUAACGGCUUACCAAGGCAACGAUGCGUAGCCGACCUGAGAGAGUGAUCGGCCGCACUAGAACUGAGCCACGGUCCAGACUCCUACGGGAGGCAGCAGUAGGGAAUCUUCCGCAAUAGGCGAAAGCCUGGCGGAGCAACGCCGCGUGAGAUAUGAAGGUCUUCGGAUCGUAAAACUCUGUUAUUAGGGAAGAACAAAUGUGUAAGUAACUAUGCACGUCUUGACGGUACCUAAUCAGAAAGCAACGGCUAACUACGUG